GAUGAACGCUGGCGGCGUGCCUAAUACAUGCAAGUCGAGCGAACAGACGAGGAGCUUGCUCCUCUGACGUUAGCGGCGGACGGGUGAGUAACACGUGGAUAACCUACCUAUAAGACUGGGAUAACUUCGGGAAACCGGAGCUAAUACCGGAUAAUAUAUUGAACCGCAUGGUUCAAUAGUGAAAGACGGUUUUGCUGUCACUUAUAGAUGGAUCCGCGCCGCAUUAGCUAGUUGGUAAGGUAACGGCUUACCAAGGCAACGAUGCGUAGCCGACCUGAGAGGGUGAUCGGCCACACUGGAACUGAGACACGGUCCAGACUCCUACGGGAGGAAGCAGUAGGGAAUCUUCCGCAAUGGGCGAAAGCUUGACGGAGCAACGCCGCGUGAGUGAUGAAGGUCUUCGGAUCGUAAAACUCUGUUAUUAGGGAAGAACAAAUGUGUAAGUACCUAUGCACGUCUUGACGGUACCUAAUCAGAAAGCCACGGCUAACUCCGUG
rnacentral:rRNA from 1 species